GUUUUCAUGGCGGACCAGAGGCUGGCCAGUAGUGGCGUGCUUGACGAGGAGUGUUGGUGCAUCAGGGUCGUCUCCAAGGGCAGAGGCAAGGCCUCCAACCGGGCGAUUUUGUUUUGCCAAGUUGACAAAGCAAAGGAAGAUAUGCUGAACCAGCUAUACAGCUCAAUAAGCUUCGCUGCCUUCCUCAAAGUUGUGUACAGAACCAAGUUGAGUACUCCUGACCAGGUCCAGAUGC